rnacentral:rRNA from 1 species
CCUACGGGAUGCUGCAGUGGGGAAUUUUGCGCAAUGGGGGAAACCCUGACGCAGCAACGCCGCGUGCGGGACGAAGGCCCUCGGGUCGUACACCGCUUUCAGCAGGGAAGACCACGACGGUACCUGCAGAAGAAGCUCCGGCUAACUACGUGCCAGCAGCCGCGGUAAUACGUAGGGGGCGAGCGUUAUCCGGAUUAAGUGGGCGUAAAGCGCGCGUAGGCGGCCGCCUAAGCGGAACCUCUAACCCCGGGGCUCAACCGCGGGCCGGGUUCCGGACUGGGCGGCUCGAGUGCGGUUGAGGAGAGAGGAAUUGCCGGUGUAGCGGGGGAAUGCGCAGAUAUCGGGAAGAACACCGAUGGCGAAGGCAGCUGUCUGGGCCGUCACUGACGCUGAGGCGCGAAAGCUGGGGGAGCGAACAGGAUUAGUUACCCGGGUAGUC